AACGAACGCUGGCGGCAUGCCUAACACAUGCAAGUCGAACGAGAUCUUCGGGUCUAGUGGCGCACGGGUGCGUAACGCGUGGGAAUCUGCCCUUGGUUCGGAAUAACAGUUGGAAGCGACUGCUAAUACCGGAUGAUGACGAAAGUCCAAAGAUUUAUCGCCAGAGGAUGAGCCCGCGUAGGAUUAGCUAGUUGGUGUGGUAAAGGCGCACCAAGGCGACGAUCCUUAGCUGGUCUGAGAGGAUGAUCAGCCACACUGGGACUGAGACACGGCCCAGACUCCUACGGGAGGCAGCAGUGGGGAAUAUUGGACAAUGGGCGAAAGCCUGAUCCAGCAAUGCCGCGUGAGUGAUGAAGGCCUUAGGGUUGUAAAGCUCUUUUACCCGGGAUGAUAAUGACAGUACCGGGAGAAUAAGCUCCGGCUAACUCCGUGCCAGCAGCCGCGGUAA
rnacentral:rRNA from 1 species